UUUGCCGCCCCAUAUAGAAUAUUUCCUUACGCCAAAUUCCCAAGGGAGACUUUUUUAGAUCAGCGCUUGCAUUCCACAUGAUCAUCCCCCUUCCCAUUCAUUCAUUCUUUCUUUAUUUCCUCCCAUGGGAGAUUGCAUGAACAAUGCAGAAAUUACAUCAUUAGAGUAUUACACAUAUUCAUAUAUACAAAGGAAAAGGAUAUGAGAUUUGUACAUAAGAAGAAAGUUGAGCACAAAAUAUGUACAGGCGAUACAUAGCUAAUUAGAAUUGAACACCGGGAAUGGUGAAAAACCUGCAGUUAUGUAAGACGUAACUGUCUGUUGUAACAUGCUGCUGCAUCCCGCAGGAAGCGGAAGUUCAGAAGAUGCAAGCCGGGUUCGUCAUAAUGGGAAAGAUUAACUGUGAACAUUCUAGCACCUAAUAGAAAAAGAUAUAGGUCUUGAUGACAGAGACCGCAAAGUUCAGCACUGAGCACAAUAUCAAGGUCAAUUACUGUAUUCCACCAAGCAUCUUGGAUAGCGACUAUUCCUACGCAAGUGGUCGAAACGUGUUCAAAAACGUUUGUGAAAUAUUUGCCACAGAUGAGACAAGAUGUCGGAGGAGAGUGUGGAAAGGACCAUAGCUUAGUGAUAAAUUUGCAAAUCUCUAUUUCAUGAAUGUUAGACGGAAUUUUCCAGAUAGUCUGUGGAGGUCGCCCUGCCGUUAUUUUGUUGAAUUGUUGAAAAGAAGGAUCCGAGAGCAUCCGUUUGUGCCUUGAAUCUAGAUGGAAAUCAAUUAUUGCUGUUUUGACGCUUGUUUUCCAACUCUUUGGAGGAAAGCAGGCCUAACCAUCUUGCAGAUAGAGUAGAAAAUGCCGGUGGAGGUUAUACUUAUAUAGUAGAUUAAAAACAUCAUGGAUAAAACCAAAAUGAGUGAGUUCCGGAGACUGUAUAAGAAAUCGGAAGAAGUCCAAGUAAGGAUUCACAAAUGUCAGAUCGAGUAACUUUUGGUAAACCCAUUACAUGCUUGCAAAUGAAGUGCUGUAAGGUAUUAAGGGCCUGCAGAUCUCGUUGGCGUAAAUCGCUCCAGAGUUCACAUCCGUAUAGGGUGGAAGGGAGAACAAUUCUGUUGUACAAACGCGAUACGGUAUCAGGGUUAAGGUGUUCUUGUAUUUUGAGUGCAUAGUAGGCUUGUCGACCUUUCCUACACGCGUUGGCAAUUUUCUCAGUAUGAACAAGCUUGGAUUGAA